rnacentral:tRNA from 1 species
UACACGUAGUAUAAUUAAUAUAUUAAAUUUAGAAUUUAAAGAUAUUAAGUGUAUU